rnacentral:lncRNA from 1 species
AACUUUCCACUGUGGGGUGAUGUACAUAUUUAAAAAAAAAAAACUAAUUGAAGCAGCAAAAUAAACCACGGCAUGAACUCAAAUGGUGUAAGAAAAAAAAACCUCAAAUGGUGCACAUUGUGUUUUUAGUGUAACAGGACAGCCAAUAAGCAUUACCAAACACACCAAGGUCGUGGAAGCAAACCAAAAGACACCAAAGGUCGUGUAAGAUCACUAGAUCUUCUGAAACAAACAUGAGGCUCGCCUUUCUUGUAGGGCAGUGCAUCAAGACACAAUCAUUACUGUUACAGAAAAGCAGUCAGUCGAAAGUAUACGCCGUCACCUCUUAGUUACACUGAUAAUCCACCAUAAUUCCAAAAGAUAAGCGACCGGCAAUUCGCAUUGCGGUAAACAGCUUACCGAAUGGGGGGAAGGGGGUGCUUGGGUACGGACCCAGUACACCCAGCGGCCAUGGCGGAGGCAGGUAUACGCUAGGCCCGCGGAAAGCGGCCGGCGGCAUGACGGGCGGGAAUGCUGG